GGUGUUGGGUGCUGUGAAUGUGCUGUGAAUGUGUGAAUGUGCUGUGAAUGUGCUGCGAAUGUGCUGUGAAUGUGCUGUGAAUGUGCUGUGAAUGUUUUGUGAAUGUGUUGUGAAUGUGCUGUGGAUGGAGUUUGUGGAUAUGGCUGCUUUCCCUGCCUGUUGUUCGUGUCCAGCGGCCUGCCCAGUUCCUGCCCAGUUCCUGUCCAGCUGCGGGUUGUUUCUAAGUCGCAGCAGUUCAGUCGCAGCAGGAGCUGAUCAACGAAUUUUUGGAUGACGAAUGGAUUUAAACAUGCUAGGUCCAUCACCUUCUCGAGAAUUGUGGCCACUAACCAACCACCAUCAAAAGGCACAUUAGUCGUCGGUUGUACAAGAAGUUUUCUCCUAAUAAUUCAAGCAAAAUGUAUUACAUUACAUGUUAUAUUAAAGUAAAAAAGUCAAUUUAGA